CCUACGGGAGGCAGCAGUGAGGAAUAUUGGUCAAUGGACGAGAGUCUGAACCAGCCAUGCAGCGUGAAGGAUGACUGCCCUAUGAGUUGUAAACUUCUUUUAUACAAGAAUAAUACUACUCACGUGUACGUUUUUGAAUGUACUUUACGAAUAAGGAUCGGCUAACUCCGUGCCAGCAGCCGCGGUAAUACGGAGGAUCCGAGCGUUAUCCGGAUUUAUUGGGUUUAAAGGGUGCGUAGAUGGGUUGUUAAGUUAGAUGUGAAAGUUUGGGGCUCAACCUGGUAAUUGCAAUUGAUACUGGCAGACUAGAGAACAGAUGAAGUAGGCGGAAUUAGUGGUGUAGCGGUGAAAUGCUUAGAUAUGACGAAGAAACCCGAUUGCGAAGGCAGCUUACUAAUCUGCAACUGACGCUGAUGCACGAAAGUGUGGGUAGCGAACAGGAUUAGAUACCCGAGUAGUC
rnacentral:rRNA from 1 species